CCUACGGGUGGCUGCAGUGGGGAAUAUUGGACAAUGGGCGGAAGCCUGAUCCAGCAACGCCGCGUGAGGGAUGACGGCCUUCGGGUUGUAAACCUCUUUCACCAUUGACGAAGCCGCAUCUUUUUGGUGGGGUGACGGUAGGUGGGGAAGAAGCACCGGCCAACUACGUGCCAGCAGCCGCGGUAAUACGUAGGGUGCGAGCGUUGUCCGGAAUUAUUGGGCGUAAAGGGCUCGUAGGCGGUUUGUCGCGUCGGGAGUGAAAUCCUCGGGCUUAA
rnacentral:rRNA from 1 species